rnacentral:rRNA from 1 species
CCUACGGGAGGCAGCAGUGGGGAAUUUUGCGCAAUGGGGGAAACCCUGACGCAGCAACGCCGCGUGAGUGAUGAAGGCUUUCGGGUCGUAAAGCUCUGUCAGUAGGGAAGAAGCGUAAUGGUGCUAAUACCACCUUUACUUGACGGUACCUACAAAGGAAGCACCGGCUAACUCCGUGCCAGCAGCCGCGGUAAU